rnacentral:rRNA from 1 species
UACGGGGGGGGGCAAGCGUUGUUCGGAAUUACUGGGCGUAAAGGGCUCGUAGGCGGCCAACUAAGUCAGACGUGAAAUCCCCGGGCUUAACCUGGGAACUGCGUUUGAAACUACAAGGCUAGAGUGUGGCAGAGGGGGGUGGAAUUCCACGUGUAGCAGUGAAAUGCGUAGAGAUGUGGAGGAACACCGAUGGCGAAGGCAGCCUCCUGGGCCAAUACUGACGCUCAUGCACGAAAGCGUGGGGAGCAAACAGG